AGUGAACGCUGGCGGUAGGCCUAACACAUGCAAGUCGAACGGCAGCACAGUAAGAGCUUGCUCUUACGGGUGGCGAGUGGCGGACGGGUGAGGAAUACAUCGGAAUCUACUUUUUCGUGGGGGAUAACGUAGGGAAACUUACGCUAAUACCGCAUACGACCUACGGGUGAAAGCAGGGGAUCUUCGGACCUUGCGCGAUUGAAUGAGCCGAUGUCGGAUUAGCUAGUUGGCGGGGUAAAGGCCCACCAAGGCGACGAUCCGUAGCUGGUCUGAGAGGAUGGUCGGCCACACUGGAACUGAGACACGGUCCAGAGUCCUACGGGAGGCAGCAGUGGGGAAUAUUGGACAGUGGGCGCAAGCCUGAUCCAGCCAUAGCGCGUGUGUGAAGAAGGCCUUCGGGUUGUAAAGCCGUUUUGUUGGGAAAGAAAAGCAGCAGGUUAAUACCCCGCUGUUCUGACGGUACUCAAAGAAUAAGCACCGGCUAACUUCGUG
rnacentral:rRNA from 1 species